UCCGGCCAGGCCGCUGCUGGGCGUCGGCCUCUUCCGCCGCUGCCCCCGGCCCGGCCCCGCCCCGAGCGGCGGCGGCUCCGUGACCCCGGUGCCGUCCGGUGCGGCGGUGCCGGCAUGGCCGUGCCCUGGGCUCUGCCCGCGCCCCUCAGCCCGGCGCAGCUGAAGCGCCUGGAGCAGCACCGCUACAGCGCGGCCGGGCGCUCGCUGCUGGAGCCGUGGCUGCAGCCGUACUGGGGCUGGCUGGUGGAGCAGGUCCCGCUGUGGCUGGCGCCCAACGCCAUCACCAUGGGCGGCCUCCUGCUGAAUUGCCUGACGGCGCUGCCGCUCAUCGCCUGCUGCCCCAGCGCCGCCGAGCAGGCACCUUCUUGGGCAUACAUCCUGGGUGCAUUAGGACUUUUUAUCUACCAGUCUCUGGAUGCCAUUGAUGGGAAGCAAGCCAGAAGAACAAACACUAGUUCUCCUCUAGGAGAACUCUUUGAUCAUGGUUGCGACUCUAUUUCCACAGUUUUUGUUGUCCUUGGAUCCUGCAUAGCAAUCCGACUAGGAACAAAUCCUGACUGGUUGUUUUUCUGUUGUUUUGUGGGACUGUUCAUGUUCUAUUCUGCUCACUGGCAGACAUAUGUAUCAGGCAUACUAAGGUUUGGAAAAAUUGAUGUAACUGAAGUUCAGAUAGCCAUAACAAUGCUGCUCUUGAUAUCUGCAUAUGCAGGACCAGCAAUAUGGGACUAUAAGGUCCCUCUGGUGGGCUUAGAACUGAAGUUCUUUGCAGUUAUUGGCAUCCUGUGUGGAACAGCACUUUCUUUUUUCAAUUACUUCCGUGUCAUCUUUGGUGGAGGGGUUGGAAAGAAUGGAUCUACAAUAGCAGGAACAAGUGUUCUUUCACCAGGCCUGCACAUUGGACUACUUAUCACACUGGCCACUAUGAUUUAUAAAAAGUCUACAACUCAGCUGUUUGAAAAACAUGCUUGCCUGUAUGUCUUAACAUUUGGGUUUGUGAAUGCCAAAAUCUCACAGAAGUUGGUGGUGGCUCACAUGACAAAAAGUGAAAUCUCUCUUCAGGACUCUGCGUUUAUUGGGCCAGGACUUCUGUUUCUGGACCAGUACUUCAACAGUUUCAUUGAUGAAUAUAUUGUUCUAUGGAUAGCAUUGUUCAUAUCCUUGUUUGAUAUGCUGAGAUAUGCCACUGGUGUGUGCCUACAGAUUGCUGCUCAUCUUCAUAUACAUGUCUUCAGAAUUUCAUCUCAUCAAGCUCCUGAACAGGUUCAAAACCAUAAUGACUGAUUAAAUAGGUCAAGGACAAGAGAAGAAGCAUUUAGGGGAAUGUUGAAUGAAGCAGCCCCUCUGUUUUUGGGAAGACAGAUUAAGCUUUUGAAGAAAACAGUUUUAUGAGAAAGUUCACCGUAUCCCAGACAUUACCAGAUGUUAGAAUUAGUAGAUAACAAAGUUCUGCAGAUGCUAUUGUGAUCAGUACUUUUGAACCAGGAUGUAUUUCAGACCAUCAAUACCACAUUUGAAAAUGUUGCCCUUUCCUGUUAGGUAACUUCAAUUUUGUACUUCUCUUUUGGUGAAUGUAGGCUGCAAACCAAGGUGCUACCAACCAGAAUUUAAAGAGGAAUUUCACAUUUCCCUAGACCAAGUGACUAAUAUUGUAGCAUUAGUUUCUAAAGUUUUCUUGGAAGUGCUCUGAAGUGGUAGUCAGAUGUACCAAUUAAAUACAGUACUGCAGUAUUAAGACUUGUAAAAUGAGGCAGCCAUGAGGUAAAACCACUCAAUCUCUCUUCUGGUAUUUCUAAGGAACAAGCCGUUGGAUCAGUAGAUGAAGGAGGCAGAGUUCAGGAAAAUUUUAUUCUACUUCAGAGUACUGUUACGAGUGCCUUUAGGAUUCACGCAUUCUCUAGUAUCCAAGCACAUAAAUUACUGCUACCAGAUAAAACUGUAGCUUGUACUUUCUUUCAAGGCCAGUUUCUGGUUUUGUAGUCAUAACAAGGUUUGUCUCAUUACACUUCGUCGUUAUCUGGACUAGAGGGAGCUGUGUAAUUCAAGGAUCCUGACUUUAGCUACCCUAAUGUGUAUCUGUGAAACUCUGCAAGCAAAUGACAAAGGUCAUGGACUUAAAUGACUGCAGCUCUAGCAAUGCAACCCACCCGUGUGUAUUUCCCUGUGUGGUAUUUUUGCUAUUGCUGUGUUCAUCUUCCUUAUAAUUGAUCUAAGUUUCUUGUAGCUACUGCUGUACUUUAUCCAAACAAAACAGCACAAAACCAAACCAUAGUGUAAAACUCCAAACCAGGAAGUCAGACCCACUGACCCACAGACCCCAAGCCUGUCUCUUUAAGAGCAGACCCACUGGCUAACAUAAUGUGCCUAACUACAGGGCUGUUGUCACUGGAGAAAAGUAGCUUACCAUCUGUGUGAACAAAUCAGGACUUGCACUCAAACCCUAUAAACUUAAGCUCCUUUAAAGAGGUACUAUUUGAAUACGAUUUAUGUAAAAAGCUGUUGAAUGUAAGUGUCCAUUACUACUUUCAGUUGUUGAUAUGUACCUGAGCUCUGAGUUCAUGAAGUCCCUCCUGAACUGUUCAAUAAAGAAUGCUGUGAUUUUUUUAAAAAAUUCUACCACUGCAGCUUCCAGGCUGCACACUAAUUCAGAACAACUUCCUGAGGUAUUCAGGGAACUUUAUUAGUGAUGUACUGUCUGCUAAUCUGGAGGGAAUAAAAUAGCAUCUACCACACUAACAAGAAUUUACUGAUAUUCUUGAGGGAUAACUGUAACAGUUACUGCCAAAGGACUGGAACUCUUUAAGUGACUCACAUCAAUUCUGAAUGAAUCCUACUACUCCUAUUUGAGACUGGGAAAGACACAGCAUCUACACGUGAAGUUAGCCUGAACCCAGGCCAUGGGCAAAUAGAAAAGAAUACUGUAAACAACCCCCUGAUGAAAAGACACAGGCACCUUCUUUAGAGUGAGAUGAUUUGGUUCCCCACAAUAGUUAAAACCAUGUCAUGUCAUAGUAGGCGUAAGUAAUUCUAAGGAUAUGAUUGAGGCAUGUGGAUGAUAGGAAAACAAUGCAGGAAUCACUUAGAAAACCAGAAACGUGAGUCAAUACUAACAAAUAAAACCAGAAACAGGAGGAAAUACUAACAAAUAACCACCUAUUGAAGAUAGGAAGCAAAAUCUGUUAACUAUUUCAUAGCAUUUAAUUGUCCUUAGAGGGCUGAGACCCAGCAGCACAGUUACAAAUCCGCCUAGUUACUGGUACCCAAGAGAGGCCUAUAUUGCCUUUGCAUCAUUGUAACAGUGUAACUUCCAUAAUUGCUCCUUCCCUGAAUCCUAGUAGAGGCAGAACAAGGAGUUCAAUACUGGUUUCUUAUUCAACUUCAGUUGCAACCUGAUAGCUGAAGUUUCUGUAGGUUACUUUUCUCUAAUCCGACUUCCAGAGCUGAAGAACCAUCAAAUGACUUGAUUCUGAACUAAAAAUGCUAGUACAACUUGUUUCUCCAUUGAGCCAUCAGAAUAACAUGGACUGAAGAGACUUGCGAACAGUUGCCAUCUCCUGCUGUUGCUGUGACGAGAAAAGGAGAUAAUACUGAACAAAUGCCAUAUCAGUACGAGUCCUUUGAAUUAAAUGAAUGUCAAAUGA